GGGAGUAAUCCCAGGACGGUCUCAACUAGAAUUUUAUUUCGCUUUCAUUACAUGCAUAGACCCGCGCGUCUAUGUUACGAGUUUGGUAUGAAUUUUUUGAUCAACCGUUGCACUGCACCACAGUGUAAAACGGCGCUAUAUGCUGGAACAUCCCAUGUAUCUCCUAUGCCGAAAGGUACGGAGUGGGGACAAUCAGCAGGUAACUUAUUUCUUUACUCAUCUUUGUUUAUGGGAAGCCCAUUCAAUCAAAGUUCUGAACCUCUCUCACCAGAGAAGCGUCAGGAACGCGAUGCUCUACAUCUUGGAUCUAUCGAAGAUGCUAUGAGAUUGGCUCUGCCUAUAAAUCUUCAGGUUUUACAAAACCGAGAUGCGUAUCGUCAUCGUGUUGGAUAUAAAAGUCCUUCACUCUAUGACGAAGAAGCAUAAGGCACCUCAGAGACUACAUGCGCCACGCCAAUGGAUGUCGAGUCCGUUGGAUGAAGAUAUAGUCCGAUCCCUGCAGCGAUGUAGGGGACGUCGCAACCGAGACGUCACUAAAAAACAAUCGUUGCUCGUAAUGAGCAGGUUAGUGCGCUCCUUCAACGGAGACUUCUGAGUAACCAUCAGAGGGAACACCAGAAUGAAGUUCCGACCCGCACGAAUGGUAUAACGGUCUGGUCACUGUCUCUACGCAAGAUCCGGUGAAAUUGCAAUCCCGGCGCAAAUGCCGGGUAGACCACGGGAGGACGAAAAGACCCUAUGAAGCUUUACUAUAAGCUGACAUUGAUACAUUGGUUUGCGUGCGCAGGAUAGGUGGGACCCUUUGAAGCGCUGGCUUUGGCCGGCGUGGAGGGGCCGUUGAGAUACCACCCUCGCGUUCCGAUGUAUCUCACUCCGUCUAUGAAACAUAGCGGGGGACAGUGUUUGCCGGGUAGUUUAACUGGGGCGGUUGCCUCCUAAAGUGUAACGGAGGCGCGCAAAGGUCCACUAUUCUCGGAUGGAAAUCGAGAACGUCGUGUAAUCGCACACGUGGGCCUGACUGUGAGACUUACAGGUCGAGCAGGGACGAAAGUCGGUGAUAGUGAUCCGGUAUCCUGAACAAUUAAUCUUGUUCUCACCAUGUGGUAGGGAUAUCGCUCAACGGAUAAAAGUUACUCUAGGGAUAACAGGCUGAUCGAUCCCAAGCGCCCACAGCGACGGAUCGGUUUGGCACCUCGAUGUCGGCUCAUCGCAUCCUGGGGCUGGAGAAGGUCCCAAGGGUUUGGCUGUUCGCCAAUUAAAGCGGUACGCGAGCUGGGUUCAGAACGUCGUGAGACAGUUCGGUCUCCUAUCUGUUGCGGGCGCGGAACGUUGCGUGGGCUCUUCCCUAGUACGAGAGGACCGGGAAGGAUAAACCUCUAGUGUGCCAGUUGUUCCAUCAGGGGCAUCGCUGGGUAGCUACGUUUAGUACGGAUAAACGCUGAAAGCAUCUAAGCGUGAAGCCGUCCACAAGAUUAACAUUCGUUAUAGACCCCUAGUAGAUGACUAGGUUGAUAGGCUCUACGUGUAAGUACCGUAAGGUAUUGAGCGGAGGAGUACUAAUCGGUCGAGCGCACUACGG
rnacentral:rRNA from 1 species